GGCGCAAGACGAGUCUUUUCCGUCACUAUUCUACGUUUUCUCAUGUGCCUUACUGGCUUGCUGUUGGUUCAGUUGUGGUCAUAAAGCGCUGCGCAACGCGAGAGUCGUGAAAUUAAGCGCGCGAGCUUUUGAAGACGUGCAUAUGCAAUGUGUGUGUUUUGGGAGGAGGGAAAGGUGUCGUCGGACACGUGAUAACUCCUCCUAAUUUCUUUUGCGUAUACGUACAGGCAACUUGAGCACGCCCCCUCCCCCUUUGCGUUUAUAAAGUACGAUUGAAAAUACUGUUUACAAGCGUACAUAUCAGCGCUAUAUCCUGUCUCUUUUGCAGUUACCGAGGAUCAAACUAAGCGCCUGAUAAUUAGGCGUCAUGAGCUGGAGCAUCUUUUCACUGGCAAAAGAAAUGCUGCAAAGCAAGGCUGGCUCAAAAUCAUUGAGGAUAUCGGCCUGCAUGGCGCCACGCCUGAACAGUGCCGCAAGAAGUGGCUGAAUCUGCUAAGGAAGUACAAGGAUUUAAAGAACCCGCCAACUGGCGCUGGAAACGAAGAAAAUGAGCUCUCGUGGCCGUUCUUCGAAUUGAUGGAUACAGUGAUGUCGGGAAGGCCGAUUAUGACACCACCGCGGCUGAUUGCGUCAGCGCUUGCUGAUGCAAGCACGGAGAAUUCAGAGGAUGCAAAUGACCAGCAACCCCGGGAGGCAAAAAGACAGGGACGCGAGGAGACGCAGAAAAAA